UAUCUCUGUAGAGUCUGCAUAUCAAUAAGCGGAGGAAAAGAAACUAACUAGGAUUCCCUUAGUAACGGCGAGUGAAGCGGGAAGAGCUCAAAUUUGAAAUCUUCAAGGUUCUACCUUGACGAAUUGUAGUUUAUAAGAAGUGUUUUCUGUUUGGAGUUGGCUAAAAGUUCUUUGGAAUAGGACAUCAUAGAGGGUGAGAAUCCCGUAUUUGACCAGUUACUUUCCAGCUGUGUGAUACACUUUCAAAGAGUCGGAUUGUUUGGGAAUGCAGUCCAAAAUGGGUGGUAAAUUUCAUCUAAAGCUAAAUAUUGGCGAGAGACCGAUAGCGAACAAGUACCGUGAGGGAAAGAUGAAAAGAACUUUGAAAAGAGAGUUAAACAGUACGUGAAAUUGUCAAAAGGGAAGCGUUUGACACCAGUGUUGUUUUUCCGAAAAUCAAUUAAGAAUGUUUUAUUUUUGAGGAGUUAUGACUUCAUCGGCUUGCUCCUUUCUUUAUGGAACUUUCUUAAUGCACUUUUCGGUUAACAAGUCAACAUCAAUUUCUUUUGUUGUAAAAGAGUAUGAGGAAGGUGGCUUUCUUUUCGGAGAAAGUGUUUAUAGCCUUGUACUUCUGCAAUCGGAGAGAUUGAGGUCUGCAGCGUAGAUCCUUCGGGGUUAGAUACACUUGUGCUAAGUUAUAGCUUUUCAUAGACAACUUGUUGAUUAUGAUUAGUCUUGUAGCUUACUCGCUUGUGCUAUUUUACCUACGCUUAGGAUGUUGAGUAGCGACAUACGCAC
rnacentral:rRNA from 1 species